UACAGAGGGUGCAAACGUUGUUCGGAAUUACUGGGCGUAAAGCGCGUGUAGGCGGCUUUGCAAGUCGGAUGUGAAAGCCCUCGGCUCAACCGGGGGAAGUGCACCCGAAACUGCAAAGCUAGAGUCUCGGAGAGGAUCGUGGAAUUCUCGGUGUAGAGGUGAAAUUCGUAGAUAUCGAGAGGAACACCGGUGGCGAAGGCGGCGAGCUGGACGAUGACUGACGCUGAGACGCGAAAGCGUGGGGAGC
rnacentral:rRNA from 1 species